AUUGAACGCUGGCGGCAGGCCUAAUACAUGCAAGUCGAACGAGUGGCGGACGGGUGAGUAAUGUCUGGGAAACUGCCUGACGGAGGGGGCUAACUACUGGAACCGGUAGCUAAUACCGCUUACCACCCGAUGUGCCCUGACUGGAUUAGCUAGUCGGGGGGGUAACGGCUCACCAAGGCGACGAUCCCUAGCUGGUCUGAGAGGAUGACCAGCCACACUGGGACUGAGACACGGUCCAGACUCCUACGGGAGGCAGCAGUAGGGAAUAUUGCGCAAUGGGCGCAAGCCUGAUGCAGCAAAGCCGCGUGUAUGAAGAAGGCCUUCGGAUUGUAAAGUACUGUCAGCGGGGAGGCGUUAUCCACAGAGGAAGCACCGGCUAACUCCGUGCCAGCCGCCGCGGUAAUAC
rnacentral:rRNA from 1 species